AGUAACGGCGAGUGAAGCGGCAACAGCUCAAAUUUGAAAUCUGGCGUCUUCGGCGUCCGAGUUGUAAUUUGCAGAGGGCGCUUUGGCAUUGGCAGCGGUCCAAGUUCCUUGGAACAGGACGUCACAGAGGGUGAGAAUCCCGUACGUGGUCGCUAGCCUUUACCGUGUAAAGCCCCUUCGACGAGUCGAGUUGUUUGG
rnacentral:rRNA from 1 species